GACGAACGCUGGCGGCGUGCUUAACACAUGCAAGUCGAACGGAAAGGCCCUGCUUUUGUGGGGUGCUCGAGUGGCGAACGGGUGAGUAACACGUGAGUAACCUGCCCUUGACUGUGGGAUAACUUCAGGAAACUGGGGCUAAUACCGGAUAGGAGCUCCUGCUGCAUGGUGGGGGUUGGAAAGUUUCGGCGGUUGGGGAUGGACUCGCGGCAUAUCAGCUUGUUGGUGGGGUAGUGGCUUACCAAGGCUUUGACGGGUAGCCGGCCUGAGAGGGUGACCGGCCACAUUGGGACUGAGAUACGGCCCAGACUCCUACGGGAGGCAGGAGGGGGGAAUAUGGCACAAUGGGCGGAAGCCUGAUGCAGCAACGCCGCGUGCGGGAUGACGGCUUUCGGGUUGUAAACCGCUUUCGCCUGUGACGAAGCGUGAGUGACGGUAAUGGGUAAAGAAGCACCGGCUAACUACGU
rnacentral:rRNA from 1 species